rnacentral:rRNA from 1 species
AUUGAACGCUGGCGGCGUGCCUUACACCUGCCAGUCGAACGGUCACGGGCCUUCGGGUGCCGACGAGUGGCGAACGGGUGCGUAAUGUAUCGGAACGUACCUUUCCUUGGGGGAUAACUUCCCGCAAGUUACGCUAAUACCGCCUAUUCUGUGAGCAGGAACGCAGGGGAUCGCACGACCUUGCGCUGCUUGAGCGGCCGAUAUCAGAUUAGCGAGUUGGUGAGGUAAAGGCUCACCAAGGCGACGAUCUGUAGCGGGUCUGAGCGGAUGAACCGCCACACUGGAACUCAGACAAGGGCGAGACUCCGGCGGGAGGCAGCAGUGGGGAAUUUUGGACAAGGGGGGCAACAAGGAGACAGCCAUGCCGCGGGAGUGAAGAAGGCAUUCGGGUUGGAAAGCUCUUUCGGCCGGGAAGAAAUCGGAUGGGUUAAUAACCGGGGCGGAUGACGGUACCGGCAUAAGAAGCACCGGCUAACUAAGUGCCAGCCGCCGCAGUAACAC